UACGUAGGGGGCUAGCGUUGUCCGGAAUCAUUGGGCGUAAAGCGCGCGUAGGCGGCCCGGUAAGUCCGCUGUAAAAGUCAAAGGCUCAACCUUUGAAUGUCAGUGGAUACUGCCGGGCUAGAGUCCGGAAGAGGCGAGUGGAACUCCUGGUGUAGCGGUGGAAUGCGCAGAUAUCAGGAAGAACACCGACGGCGAAGGCAGCUCGCUGGGACGGUACUGACGCUGAGGCGCGAAAGCGUGGGGAACGAACAGG
rnacentral:rRNA from 1 species